GCGGAGUACCUCGGUCUAAGGGAGGUGUUCAGUAAGUCUUGGGCUGCUUCCCUGCCCCCGCAUCGCCCUUAUGACUGUGCUAUCGAGUAAUUACCUGAUAAAUCUCCUAAGGGCAAGUUAUAUUCACUUUCGGCUCCAGAGAGUGAAGCAUUGGAGAAAUAUAUUUCUGAUCCUCUAGCAGCAGGGUUCAUCCGCCAUUCCUCUUCUCCAGCGGGGGGGGGGGGGUGGUUUUGUGGGGAAAAAGGACGGCUCCCUGCGACCCUGUAUUGAUUACCGGGGGCUGUACAGCAUCACGGUGAAGAACACCUAUCCGUUGCCGUUGAUGUCCUCAGCCUUAGAGAGGUUUCAGGGAGCAUCGAUCUUGACUAAGUUGGACCUACGUAAUGCAUAUGAUUUGGUCCGCAUCAGGAAAGAGGACGAAUGAAAGACUGCUUUUAAUACCCCCAGGGGGCACUUUGAAUACCUGGUCAUGCCCUUUGGGUUGUCCAACGGUAUUCCAAGCACUGUCUUGUCAGAUCGUUGUUUGAUUUCUCCCGAGUGUGUCGUGUUCCUGUCGGCGUUCCAGUCUCGUGCUUCGUAUCGUGUUUGAGUUCAUCGUCGCCGGAUCUCUCCACCUCUGGGCUCAUCAUCCCUCUCCCCGAGCUGCAGGCUGACCACCCCGUCCAUGCGCCACCCACCACCAGGAGGAUCUCGGGAGCUUGGGGACUGCUGGUCAUCGCAUGCUUGACAACUACUGCUACGGAUCUGUUGUGUGUGUGUGUGCGCGUUGUGUUGAGGUGUGGGGAUGGAAAAUGAUAGACUAUGAAAGCAUCCCAGGAAAUAUUUUUUUCUUCUUUCUGCGUCUCAAAUUGUUCCUUCAUCCCAUUCCCCUCUCAUCUUUCUCCAUCCCCACAUGGGUGGUCAACAAUGGUGCUGUUGCCUUUAAAUGCCGAAAAGCCAAGAUGUCUAGCUGAGGGUAUUUACCUGUUCCAUCCGGAGGGCGUUUUUCGGCCUCCGCUCCAAAAAUACCACCAGAAGUAGCAGCAGUGCAGCUGGCAGCCGCACGUACGAACCAGUGGACUAUGGACGCGCAGGACUCCGCUCUACUGUGGAUGAAAACUGCUACCAGCGCAUCAUGCGGUGGUCACUUUACCUACAAGGGUUCGAAAUUCUUUUUAAGAAGGGGUGUGCUAACAUUCUGGCGGACUCUGUCGCGCACACGUCAAUAAGGCUCCUGAUGGCGUGGUCCUUGCCAGUGGAACUGAAUGUGUGAGCCAUGUUGUUAUUUUGAAGGGACAAACUCGCCAUGCAAAUGUCAUCCACCACGCCAAUACUUUUGUAUAAUUCCACUGUGGGUUUCUACAGUAAUGGCCCAUGAUCAAAUAGACCAGUUGUUAUAAUUGCUGGCCAGCACAUUAUGUGUUUUCUCAACAUUACACAGCGCGCCCCAAAAUUCCUAAAGUGAAACUGUGUCGCCGUCUUUUUAAAAAGGUGUUCUUGUUUGUUGUGAAUUAUUAUACAAAUGUAGCAAAGAAUGCCAUCUGGUCAGAAAAAGAAACCCUCUUGAUUUAAUAAAGAUGGGAUUAUCACUGAUUCACAUUGUGCUCAACAUUUUUAGUUUAUAGCUAUACUUAUAUAUAAGCUAAUUUUCAUUCAGAGGGGUUUUCUGCAUACUAGUUGAUCAAUGGGCAUUUGUUAGCUGACAGUGACACCUACUGAUGAGUUGAUUCCUUUUGGACCGAAGAUGACGGAGAUCCCCACACAAUUAGUCAUUCUUUAUGCUUUUUUUUCUUGUUUAUUUUAUUUCCAAAAUAUAAAGUGUUGAAAAUAUUAAGCGUUCCUCUUGCAGAGGAGCACUGUUUUGUGGACUUGUCCAUUUAAAUCAACAAACCGAAUACUGUGAAUACUUGUCUAGUACAAAAAAUACCUCCCUUACUUCUAUAACUAACAAGUCCAUUGCAAUCCCUCGUGGCAAAAUUAGUGAUAUUGGGCUGCAUUUAGUUAGUUACAAAAACAAACCGCUCCGUGACCAGAGGCGGCAUAUAAUCUAAUCUAAUCCGAGCGGGGGGAGGUAUUGGUCCUGGGGGACGGGAAGACCUGCAGUUUAUUCAAAUGGAUGAGGCUCGUUCUCUCUCUUUAGUUCUAAUUCAGUCUCAUUUUCACACUUAAGCACAAACAGGCUCUCGCCUGUCUUUGUCAGUCCAUCCCCUUUCAAAGAUAAUUUCCCAUUCCUUGGGUUUUCCCAUGUACAGCCUCCGAACAGCAGUACCACAGUUAAUUAUAUUAAUAAUGAAGACAUUCAUUUACUCUUAAGAGAGGGAGAGAGAAGGGGUGAAGCAUAGUGAGUUUUUGUGAAUGAUUAUCUCACCACCUACCCUCUCUCUAGCCCGCUUCUGUUCUCCUCUUUGUUACUUCCAUUGAAAUUUAAAG
ensembl:lncRNA